rnacentral:rRNA from 1 species
UACGUAGGGGGCAAGCGUUGUCCGGAUUUAUUGGGCGUAAAGAGCGUGUAGGCGGCCAGGCAGGUCCGCUGUGAAAACUCGAGGCUCAACCUCGAGACGUCGGUGGAAACCGUUUGGCUAGAGUCCGGAAGAGGAGAGUGGAAUUCCCGGUGUAGCGGUGAAAUGCGCAGAUAUCGGGAAGAACACCCGUGGCGAAGGCGGCUCUCUGGGACGGGACUGACGCUGAGACGCGAAAGCGUGGGGAGCAAACAGG